rnacentral:sRNA from 1 species
CAUUGUGCUUCCCCUAGAAAUUUGAAGAAAAGCUAGGACAGGCAUAUUUUGGCAUCAACGGUGACACGGUUGAUGGUGUACAUGUUUGUUUUGAUUUUUGGUCUGUUGAUUUCGUGGCAUGGUUAAGGUUUGUUUGUUCUUUUGGUUACAUAAUUUUGGUUUGUUAUUGAUGUACAUGUACAUAAAAGGUAGAUUUGUUUGUUGUUUGCAAUCCUAUCUGCUUUAAACGAAUUACACGUUUUUAAACGACAUCUGGGGAUGUAGGGUUAACUUCGUAAUUCUGCAUCCACUAGAAUUGAGUUCCUCCUUUGUAACAGGAAAACUAGAUCCUAUUUUUACUUUCAGUAGCAGUAGAAACUAUUCUGAAGACUUGGCAGAAGAAAAUAGGGUACUUGGCAGAAG